CAUUUGCGUUAGGGAUUGUAGCGGCAUCCUUUUUUUGCUGCCAUUUAUAGCAAAAAAAGAUAUAGCGCAUGACCCGACCCUUG
rnacentral:sRNA from 1 species